UACGAAGGGUGCAAGCGUUGUUCGGAUUUAUUGGGCGUAAAGGGCGCGUAGGCGGAGCUUUAAGUCAGGUGUGAAAACUCGGGGCCUAACCUCGAGACUGCGCCUGAAACUGUAGCUCUAGAAUGUCAGAGGGGGAAGGGGAAUUUCGCGUGUAGGGGUAAAAUCCGUAGAGAUGCGAAAGAACACUUGAGGGGAAGCCGCCUUCCUGGAUGAUGAUUGACGCUGAGGCGCGAAAGCGUGGGGAGCAAACAGG
rnacentral:rRNA from 1 species